rnacentral:tRNA from 1 species
GAUUCCGUAGUUUAAUGGAUAGAAUAAGAGAUUCCGGUUCUCUUGGUAGGGGUUCGAGUCCCUUCGGAGUCA